GGCCAGUUAUGAUGAUGUCAACAAUGGGAAUCUCUCUGAGAAAAACCAUGGAGAGUAUUUGUUAUCUGAACUGGUC